CCCAUAUCCUCCCGUGUGGAGGAGGCCGUUCUCCUCUACCUCCGACCCCCUAGCCAUGAGGUGCACGCAGAGGCAGCCCAGGCUUCCCUUCUCUCCCCUACCAAGGCAGCCAUCAGCCGGCUUUCUCCCCCUCCCAAGUCUGCGGGCGACACGGGGGAGUUCGACGCCCCCAUCUCCUUCCCAGGGCGGCUAACAACGAGGAGGAGGGCAUGGGCGCCCUCCUGGCCUCCUCUACCUCUGGAGGCAGCGGGGCCAUGGGAGGAGCAAGGCGGAGGACAUCGGCACCCUCCUCUCCCUCCUGAGUCAGCACGACUAUGGGAGGAUCCGGCACAGUCGGUGCUCCCUUUCGGAUGCAUUGCAUCGCCAUCCGUGUCAUGACUCUCUCUAUCUCUCUAUGACGCCGCGACUUCUAGGGAAUUUUGCAUCUACAGAAGAUGGCGUUGCUACAGAUAUGCAGAGGGAUAAACUAUGCAGUGACAUACCAAUCUGCAGUUUAAUUUACAGCUAAUUUUCCUGUCUCGAGCUCAUCUUCCGUUUUGCUUCUCGGAUCGACCUCCUCGAGCUUUUGGGAUCCAGUCUUGACGCUCAACUAUAUUUACUCCUCACGUCUUUGUGAGUAAGUACAUUUUAUACGUUUGUUUCUUCCAUGAGUUCUCAUGCUAGAAAUUUUGUAUGCAAUCGCAUUCUUCUUCUACCAUAUGUACUCAGAUGUAUACUUCACACUUUCUUAUCUGUUUUAGUUUCUCCAGCUAGGUUUAUGCAGACAAAAGUCUAUGCAGGUUGCAUUCUUCCCUAUAUCAUGUUUUUCUCUCAGUAAAAUAGAUAGAAAUUUGAUGUGCUAUUACAUUUUUAUUAUCUAAUUCUUGCAGUUCACCCACUUUUCAAUGGCACAUUUAGGAUUUAGUUUUAUUUGCUUCUUUGUUAUUUGCAUAGGUGCAGCCAAACUUUUGUGGUCUUUCAGCUUUUUACAUUGCCUGCUCACCCUUACUGUUUCUCUAUCUUACUUUUCCUUUUCUUUUCUUUGUUGCUAGAACCAUGGAAGAUAAAUUGGUUCACCUAAGAAGCAUAUUUGUUUGUCAGCAGGUACAUUUCACUCUAUGAAAAUUGCCUCUGCAAAUAUCGCCAAGUAAUAUAGUGGAUCAGGUGUUGUCUCCAUACUAUCAAUUGGAGUAUAUUGUUCGUGAGACAAGGGCGAUGGAUGAUCUAUCAGCUUUUGCCACAAAAUCAUGACAAUAGCAGAUCAGAGUGCCACUAAGGUUCCAGAGAAUAGUUCAGCAGAGGGUGCCACCCUCCAGAACACACCUAUGUUUAUUUGUUAAUAGGUACACGGUUAUGUUGCAAAAAAUCCAGUACCUCCAUGGGGUCACAAGAAGGUACAGAUAUAAGAGUACAGUUAGCAGCAUAUCGGCAAGUCAUGUGGUGUCUCCCGUCCCGUGGAGUGUUUCAUUUCACCACGAAUGUUUGAUGUGGAGGCUAUCCAAAAAUAUUCUUCCGCGGUAGUUCUGCAUCCUAGGCUAGAUACCAACUUUGCAGAUCUACAAUAUGUAUGUGGAUUUCUAAAGGUGAAGUGGCUAAAUAAUGUAGCAGUUUUACUCUAUUUUGAUUAAGAUAACCCCUGCAUGUUCGUAUAUGAAAUGUCUGUUUCUUUUGAAGAAUGGAUUCACGGUGGAGAGCUUGAGCUCAUUCAGUGGACACCUGAGUAUGGAUCAGUUGGGUGUGUAGGAAGAUUGUGAGUAUGGACACCUGAGUAUACUCACGGUGAGUAUGGAUCAGUUGGGUGUAUAUGGAUCAGUGGGCACAUUCAGUGAACAACGUUUUUUUAGAUCCAUACUCAGGUUUCAGCCAUCUACAGGACCUAAAACCGCUUAAGCAAUCUUAUUUACCGAUUGUGAGUAGGAAGAUUGUGAUG